CAUACCACAUAAGCAUAAGAGGUUUGCCAUGUAUCAAUUCCAAUUGAACAACUCACACAAAUCUGCAACAUCAUAGUUAUAAAAAGGUAUGGCCUUUGUCUGUGUGAUAUCUAGGCUAUCAGACGGACGUCAUUCAACAGGGACCCUAUGGUCGGGAAGUUCCCGAUGAGUUUUUCAAAUGGAUGGCUAGGAAACUUCAUCUAAUAUCAAGUUUGUCGAGCUAGAGCCGCGCUGUCCUCAAUAUACCUAUUUUUUCUAACGCUAACAUUAAUGCAUUUACCUUUUUUGACCUAAAAUAACAAGGGUGUGUCUCCUUCCUUUCUCCCUCUUUGAUUUCUUUCGAUUUCAUUCUUUCAGGAUCUGUUUUUCAUUACAUCAUCAACCAGGAGAUGAAUUCAUGGUUUGUGGUUGUUCAUACAAAAUACAGUUUCCAAACGUUUGUACUGAUAAAUCAAACGUUCUUUUUUUCUUAUUUAUUGUCGUUGUUCCCACUUCCAAAGCCUUUAAUAGAGAGAGCAAAAGGAGGUAGAGACAGAAUUGCAAGACGACAUCGUACUCUUCUCCAUCUCCUCAGAAUCUAUUCAUAAAUGGGUUUGAUUUCUUCGAACAUAGCAGGGGUUUUGAUUUCCAUCUUUUGAUUUAAGGUUUAAUUUUUUUUGUAUAUAAUGGAUGGUUCACUUAUGUCUACGCAAUGUGAAUAAGUUAAAGUAUCGAUAGUUUUUAUUUUCUUGUUGCCCAAUUUAAAUUCUUAUUAUUAUAUUAUAGGGUGUUGAAGGAAGAGAAGCAUAUUGGGUUUGGUGGUCGAUCUCACCAGGCAAUUUCUACUCAAUAAGCAUAUUGGCAUGCCAACAUAUAUAGGUUACAGUACGAUGCUAGCUCCAGUCUAAUUAUAUUGUAGAAUAACGCUUUCGUUGAGGAUGCACAUUUUGCAGCUAUCGGUGACAUGGCUAGCAUGCUGACUUAUAGGCAAAUUAGGGAUCGAGAUGAGGCAGUAGAAGCAAUGACGAUGGGUGUCAGACCACUAACUUCCGUUGAAGAUACCUCCAAAUGUACAUCUAUGACACUCUAGCAGCUGCACUACCAGCAUCUGGAGAAUGAAAACCUUGGUAUCAUAAUUAUAAAGUGCGUUGGAGCGGCACUGGUAUUCAACAAUCAUGUAAGAAGCUACACUCCAAGCAAGUUAGAGAGAAAUCCGGAUAAAAACCCUCAAAAGCAAGUUAGAGAGAAUCUAGAAGAUAUACAUGCUCAGGCUUCCGCUUCAUAAUAUAUCAAUGAGAUAGUCAAUCAAGUGCUACCCCUGCAAAAAAAUGGUAGUGAAGCCCCUCAAAAUCACUUUCAAACUGAUCUUCAAGACCUAAGGCGAACAACUUUCCUCUCAUCACAUCAACAGAAAGUGAUUUUUCACUGUCGAGGAGGAGUUGUAGGAAGCAGCUACCUACAAUAGCUGUGAGCGCGGAUAGAUUUAUUGGUUUGUUGAUCUUUGCAUCUCAAUAUAUCCAGCUCCCAAGUUGGCCAAGUCCCCCGCUACGGAGGAAGCAGAAGACAACAAGGUUGUCUUUAGACUCUUUACAUAUUUGGAGGUGUUUGCUUUGGAUAUUUAGCUUGAUGAGAUAAGCAAAAUGGGAAAUUUUUCGUGACAAGGGGGUAAUGGGACCAUGGAUGCCGAGGAAGCGUGAUAUUGGGGAUUCUAUUACUUUGACUAAUAUCCAUCAGGUGCUUCACUUUCUUAUAUUUUGUGUUGUUAUUGCACAAAAUUUGGGAAUCUGUGAUUAUUUAGGCGGGAGAUGAGAACUCCAAGAAGUAUUUGUCCCUUUUGCUCCUCUUCUACAUUUCAAAAUUGAAGAUGAGGUGAUAUGACACAAAUGCAGGAUCUAUCAAAGGUGCAUUUUAAUAAUGAGAAACUGGUGUUGCGAUAAUAUGUUGAAGUCUGUUGUCCAGUCUGAAGAGUUCCUUGAGGACUCUAAAAGUUGUCUAAAAAAGUGCAUGCUGCAUUUCUCAGCUUAGCUUGAUAAUAGCUAUGAUGCCGCAUCUCCCUUUUGACUACAUAAAUCGCCUGAAGAACACAAUGGAGAUACGUGAAGAGGCUGAGAAAUGCAUAUGAAGCAGGGUUAUAGACUUCGAUAUAGACUUCGAUAUAGACUUUAAGAUUAUGGUGUUAGGGUUAUAUGUGCAUAUGAAGCAUCGUGUUAGGUACACUCUCUUCUGGCUAUCCCUUCAUGAGCAAACAAGUGAAAUUAUAUUAUCCGUCUUAGCUCAAAUGGCAGAACACAUGGUGUUUACCAUGUAGUUGUGGGUUCGACUCCCACAGAUGGAAAAGAACAACUAUGAAGAAACCUCGCAAUACUAUUGAUGACGAUAUCAAAGCAAACCAUGACGACUUAAACUUCGUCAAUUCAAAUAUGGCGGAGCAGUUGAGUACCCUAAAAAUGAGACAGACACGAGUCUACAGACUGUACACGACAUGCAUAAUUCUAUCUUAUGUGUAAGCAAUGGUUAUUCUGGCAAGGCUAGCCACUUUCCACUAGGGGAACCUGUUUUGAUGGAAUGUAAUUAAAUCCAAAUCAUCUUCUUUUAUUUAUUUCUUAUGAAGCUUCUAAACAACUACGAGGAUUAGUUAUCAUUUCCAA